CCUACGGGUGGCAGCAGUGAGGAAUAUUGGUCAAUGGGCGUCAGCCUGAACCAGCCAAGUCGCGUGAGGGAUGAAGGCCCUAUGGAUCGUAAACCUCUUUUAUAAUGGAAUAAAGUGUGGGACGUGUCCUUUUUUGUAUGUACCUUAUGAAUAAGGAUCGGCUAACUCCGUGCCAGCAGCCGCGGUAAUACGGAGGAUCCGAGCGUUAACCGGAUUUAUUGGGUUUAAAGGGUUCGUAGGCGGUGUUUUAAGUCAGUGGUGAAAGUUUGCGGCUCAACCAUAGAAUUGCCGUUGAAACUGGGGGGCUUGAGUAUGUUUGAGGCAGGCGGAAUGCGUGGUGUAGCGGUGAAAUGCUUAGAUAUCACGCAGAACCCCGAUUGCGAAGGCAGCCUGCCAAGCCACGACUGACGCUGAUGCACGAAAGCGUGGGGAUCAAACAGGAUUAGAUACCCGGGUAGUC
rnacentral:rRNA from 1 species